rnacentral:lncRNA from 1 species
CUUCGGUCCUGGAGUACUAGUUGCUCAACAGCGGUGAGGGCUUCGGUCCUGAUGAAUGCUUUAACCAUUCAAAAGCGGUGAGGGCCUCGGUCCUGAUUGGUACCACAUGCAUUAUUGCAUUUCAUUUAAGAAGUCUAAGAUGGUGUCUUAGCAGUGGUCAUGUCAUUUGCAUGAGUCUUAGUGGUUAUUCAGUUGUUAUCUGAUAAGAUGAUUUUGGUGUUGAAUAGGUG